AACUGAUCAAAGGCUUCCUUCUGAUACAGAAUGGUUCACAGACAAAACCUGAGCCAUUGAAGAAGAAACUUGAUAAUGCAAAGUACAUUAUAAAGAUUCAGUGAGAGUUUGGCACCAGCACUUCCUUCUGACAUUUGUACAAGAGAAGGGCUUACUUGGUCUGCUGGAGACAGAACAUUGUCGGUGGAGGAGGCAGGCACAGGAGGUAGAGCUCGUCACAGCCACCUUGGAUGGCAAGCUUCAGCUGUUUCAGGCCGAGUGAUGCUGACCCACGGGCUGGGCACCGCCUGGGCCAGAACAUGGCCUGAGUCUGGGUCCUCAUCCUGAGAGAUGCCAGCGGUGUCUACACCACCCGCCCGUCUGAGCCACCCUCACAGUCGCGGCCUGCCCACUCCUUGCUGGGGAUUCCCUGCCCUGGAAAAAUGGAAAUGGCGUCCAGCACUUCUGCACAGAAUUUGGUCAAGUUAAAAUAGAAUGUUCUUC
rnacentral:lncRNA from 1 species